GUAUCAUUAAAAAAAUUCAUAAUGUUUUAGCCAGCACUUGAGUCCUUGAGACAUGAUGAGAAACUAAGAGAUUUACCCUCUCCUUAAGGUUUACAGGACCGGUCUAACAAGAAGAGGCCAAACCCAACAGUGUUUAAGAUCUACACUAGGAAAUGUCAAAAGAAAGUUGCAUUAUGCACACUAACUUCACUCUACAUUGUACAACUCGGGGAUUAGAAGAAUACAAAACGACUUGUAAAGCAGAGCUUGGCAGCACGCUAUGAAACUUCGCUGAAGUCCGUCAGUUAAUGAAGAUUAAAUGCUGAACCUCAGCUCUCCAUUGUGACACAUCUUUUCAAGCAAUGUUGAAAUUGCUAUUUCUAUCCAAUCUGCAAUAAUUUAAAAAAUCCUUAUGUUAAAACUUCAAAACCAUUAUAAUCCCAUAUCUCCAUACGUAAUGUGUAGAUGUAAGGGGUAUCUGUGUGGCAGUUCCCAACUUCACUUUCACACCGCAGAAAAAAAGAAACCUGGUGGAAACAGCUGUAUGAAAUUUCUACAUAAGGCUGUUAUGUUAUCUGUUUGUAAAAUAAUUCCUGGAAUGUAAAAUGAAAGCUAUUAAAACUGGCAAUCCACAAAA